AGAGGGAAGUAAGUGGUAAUUGGACUUGUUUUGCUUUUCUACAUAUCACAUCCAUAUAUGGCUUUGCCAGUCCUCUGCUCUAUAUGUGUCAGGAGCCUCACAUCAGCUAGUGCACGCUGCCUAGUCAGUGGCUCAGUGCCUGAGAAAUCUAGGGGAUACAUGUUAGUUGAGACUGCUGGUCUUCCUAUAGGGUCGAGUGGUUUUACCAGUUUGUUAUUCCACCAACAAUGGAGGAGUGUUCCUGUUUCUCCACAUCUUCUACUACAUCUUCUGUCACCUGAAUUUUUGAUCUAAGCCAUUCUGAUUGGUGUAAGGCAGAAUGAUUUUGAUUUGCUUUUCCCUGAUCACUAAGGACUUUGAAAAUUUCUUUAAGUACUUCUCGGCCAUUCAAGAUUCCUCUGUUGUAAAUUCUCUGUUUUGUUCUAUAUCUCAUUUUUGGAUUGGGUUGUUUGGAUUUUUAGAGGGUAGCUUUUUGUGCUCUUUAUAUAUUUUGGAUAUUAGACUUCUAUCUGAUGUGGGGUUAUGAAGAUGGUUUCCCAAUUUGUAGGUUGCCCAUUUGUCAUAUUGAUUAUGUCCUUUGCAUUACAGAAGCUUUUCCAGUUUCAUGAGGUCCCAUUUAUCAAUUCUUGAUCUUAGAGACUACACCAUUGGAAUUCUGUUUAGGAAAUUUCUCCCUCUGUGCCAAUGUCUCUUUCCCAGUUUCUCUUCUAUUAGAUUCAGCGUAUCUUGUUUUAUGUUAAGGUCCUUGAUCCACUUGGACUUGAGCUUUGGCAAUGUUACAAAUAUGGAUUUAUCCUCAUUUUCUAUGCACUGACUGCCAGUUAGACCAGCACCAUCUAUUGAAGAUGCUUUCUUUUUCCAUUGUAUUUUUUUUUUUUUUUUUUUUGCUUCUUUGUCAAAGAUCAAGUGACCAUAAGUCUGUGGUUUUGUUUCUGGGUAUUCAAUUCUAUUUCAUUUAUCAACCUGUCUGUCUCUGUACAAAUACCACGCAGUUUUUAAUCACUAUUAUUCUGUAGUAUAAGUUCUUUUAUUGCUAAGAAUUUUUUUGCUCUCCUAAGUUUUUUGAUUUUUCCAUAUGAAAUGAGAAUUGCUCUUUCCAUGUCUUUAAAGAAUUGUGUUGGAGACAUUUUUAUUUUAUAAUAUUUAAUACCAAGAACACAGUUUUAUAUAAAUGUGUAGUAAAAUGGUAUAUGUAUAAUUAGAGCCAUUUCAGCUAUAGAAAUUGCCAUUCUCAUCCCAAGAUAUAAUUCAUAUAAUGAUUGUUAAAAGAAAUUUAAGCAAUAUUUAAAAUUAAACAUUGAAACACAAUGCAAACUAAUCAUGUAUAAAUUUUAUACAUGCAUGGUGUGAAAAGUGGCAGAGAAAACAUUAAAAGACUUGUUUGGUACACAUUUUACUUCAUAACAUACUGCCAUCUUGAAUCUGGGCCAAGAUGUGGUGUGGAUAGCCCUGGGGCUAAUUUGAUGUUAAUUCCAUUCUCCUGUGAGGGGUUAUGAACAAGGAAUGAGUGAGCACUCAGGUGAUUUCCUGUAAACAUGCUUUCCACCUUAAUUUGUAAAAUAAAGGAGAGCUGAUGAUUGGACAGAUAAUAGGGAAUGUGAAGCUGAAAGUGGGGAGAGAGAAAAGG
rnacentral:lncRNA from 1 species